UUAAUUUUAUAGACAAUGAGGAAACAAUGAAGAUUUCUAAGCAGCAUCUGCAUUUAGGAAUUUUUACUUAGACUUUCUCUCUGAAAUGUUACUUUUAUUAAAUUAUAGUGCCCUCUUUCAGAAUCCCAAAACUCACAGGUGGAGGCUAUAAAAAAAAUUCUAUAAACUACUUCCUUAAGGACAACAUUCUGGCAGUGGAUUUGUGGAUCAUAAUUUAGCCCAGGUUUGUUACAUUUUCUGAUAAAUCAUCACCUGAGAGAUUGAUCUGUGAGAAACCAAGAAUCACAAAAGUCAGUCUAGUCUAUUAAUGUAGUCUAGAAACAUUUCAUUAAUGCCAAAGCAAAUUCAGAAUCUGUCUCUCAUUUAAUGCAUUGAAAAGAAGCCAACUUACACAGUACCACAUUGUUAUUGCUCCUUGCUUCAUGAUAAGAAAAGAGGUAUUAUGUCAAUAUAUUGGCAAUGGAAAACUACAUGUCAUAUGAUUGCCUUGCAAACUGUUCUCCCUUAUUUUUAUUUUUUUAGAGAAAUAUCUUACAACAAACUGACAUUAAUAAUAAAUAUGAAAGUCAAGAGGUUCUACUCACAUUACAUCUCUAGUAAAAUAAUUUUUAUGCCAAAUACACUUCAUAAUAUCAUGUCAUGAGAAAAUUCUUUCAUCUUUUCUUGUGGAGUCAAUAGUCAUUGUUUCGAUUUUAUAAUAAAAAGACUCAAUACAUAAUGGCUUGCAUAUUUUACUUAAAAUCACAAAGAUGAAUGAAUUUAAAAAAACUGUAAACAUCACAUUUUUCUUAAGGAGAGGCAAACAAAAAGUUAAAACAAUCACAAUACGUUUCCAUAAUGAAAACAAAGUGAUAGCAAGGAAAUCCUAGAACAGAAAACAAGUUCAGUGACAGAUAUUAGGCAAACUGUAUUUAUUAUACUAGUAGAAAGAAAAAAACUUACAUAUUAAUAGAAAAAGACACUAUUGCAUUAAAAAACAGAUCAACUACAUGCAACAGAUGAGACAUCUGAAAAUAGGGAUGUAGAAAUGUCAAAAAUAAAGGGAUGGAUGGGUAGGAGUACCUGGGUGGCCAAUGUUGGUUAAGCAUCUGACUCUUGAUCUCAACUCAGGACUUGAUCUCAGGAUUGUGAGUUCAAGCCCCAUGUUGGAGCCUACUUAAAAAAGGCUGAAGAAAGGAUGGAUAAAGACAUAUCUGAAAAAUAUAGAUAAUAAAAUUAAUAGGAAUAAAAACUAAGGUUUAAAUAUUAAAAAGAAUUUGAAUUUACAUAAUACAUUAUUACAUGAUACAAAUAGACAAUUUAUAAUAACAGUCAUUACUGGGAAAGAGGACAUAGCUGUGUGGUAGCAUAAAUGGCUUAAUUGUCAAAUCAGAUUCACAUGAAUCAUAUAUCUUUCUAAUACUCAAUUUUCCUAAUAAAUGAUAAGAUACAGCAAACACAAGGCACAGGCAAACAUUCUUCCUUGGGAGAAGUUUGAUGCUGUCAGACUCAAUACCCAAUUAAAUUCCUUCUCAUUAUCCUACAUUCUGAUUUCAGAGUUAAUCUGGAGUGUUUUUUGAGAAAUGUGUGUGGAGAUAUUGUUUUGUUUAUGGUACUUCUCAAUUUUAUAUCUCAUUCUCCAGACAGCGGUGCUCCCACAAUUCUGUAUGUAUUUAAAAUUAAGCAACAGAGGCAAUCCAGGCAUGUUAGUUUUCUAUUGCUGCCACAACAAAUUACCACACAGAUGUCAGUUUCAAACAAUACAAAUGUAUUAUGUUACAGUUUCUCUGGGUCAGAAGUCAGAGGGUCUUACAAGGUUAAAAUCAAGGUGUCAGAUAGAUAGAUUCCUCUCUUAAGGCUCUAAGGAAGAAUCUCUCCCAGGCAGAGGAAGAAACAGGCUCCCCGCAAGGAGCCCAAUGUGGGACCCAAUCCGGGAUCCCAGGAUCACGCCCUGAGCCACAGGCAGAUGCUCAACCACUAAGCCACUCAGGCGUCCCAAGGUCCCCAUUUCUUUGCUGGAUGUCAGGUAGGGGAGUCCCUUAGCAACUAAAGGCAACUCUCCAGUCAUCACACACAGCCUCCAUGUUGCAGAACUCUAGCAAUGAUUUUUCUCACACUUACAGAAUCAGCCUAACUUUCCCUUCUGUUGCAUCAUUUCUACCUUCUUCUGUUGCAUCUCAUGCCAUCUACAAAAAGUUCUGUUUUUAAGGUCUCUUAUGACUAGAUUGGGCCCACCUAGCUAAUCCAGGAUAAUUGCCUGAUUUUAAGUUCCAUAACCUUAAUUACGCAUGCAGAGUCUUUUUUCUCAUGUAUCAAUAACCAAGACAGAUUCCAGACAUUGAGUCAUGGACAUCUUCGGAGAGCCGUUAUUUGACCUACCACAACAAGUAUAUCCACUUAAAAUUGUUUCAUAGAUAAGAACUUUGUUAUCUUUUCACUAGUAUUAGCAUUACUAUCUGAAUCAGAUAUGAUUAUUAGCAUGCAUACAGAAGACUGGCCUGGAUCAUUCUUCCUUCCUGAACAUCCCUGAGAGAAGAAAGAAAGGAAUUUUGGCCUGCUGUUGACCUUUCUUAUUUUCCCAAACUGGCAUAGUACUUCAGGUGAAAAACAAUAUUCAAUCAAAAUAUAUAAAGCACAAUUACCAGAAAUUCAUAGAAUUAAUACCUUUAAAUAUGUAAUAAGGGUGAGCAAUUUAUGCUUAUUUAAAGCUUCAUUAGUAAAAGACUAUACUUGUCUUUGAAGAGUGUAUCAAACAUUUAUAAACAUUACCAAAUGUGACACAAUGAAGAAAAACUCAACAAAUCCUAAAAAAUAGAAGUAGUAGAUUCCAGUUGAAUAAAAAUGAAGAAAAAGGGAAGAAUUACGUAAAUAUGAAAGAGGAGGAAAAGAAGAGAUAUUUGUUAAUCAUUUCCUAUGUGCCAGGAACAGUUUUAAGUACACUUUCAUCCUCUAAAACCCAGUAAGGUAGGGACUGUUAUUUUUUUGUUGACGUAUGAUUAACAUACAGUGUUGUAUCAGUUCCAGGUGUACAAUAUAAUGAUUUAAUAAUUCUAUAGUCUUGCUCAUAAUAAGUGUACUCUUGGUUCCCUUUAUUUCACCCUCCCCCCAUACUCUCCUCUGUUAUUUUGCAGUUAAGGAGACCAAAUACAGGGGUAUUAAGUGAAAUGCUCAAGUGAAAUUCACAAGCGGGAAGUGGCAUCAAAGUAAAGUGACUCAGAGUUUGUCUUUAUUUUUUGUAAGAUUUUAUUUAUUUACUCAUGAGAGACAUAGAGAGAGGGAGAGAGAGAAAGAGAGAGGCAGAGACACAGGCAGAGGGAGAAGGAAUCUCCAUGCAGGGAGCCUGAUGUGGGACUCGAUCCUGGGACUCCAGGAUCAUGCCCUGAGCCGAAGGCAGGCACUAAACCACUGAGCCACCCAGGGAUCCCCUCAGAAUUUGUCUUUUUAACCGCCACACUAUGGUUAGCCUGAAAAAAAAUCUAGAAAUUAAUAAUAAUAUAAAUUAGAAUUUAAAAAAUGUUUUGGUUUGAAUGUUUAUGCCCCUCAAAUUCAUAUGCCAAAGCUCUAACCCCCAAUGUAGCUAUAUUUGGAGAUGAGGCCUUUAAGGAAAAAAUUAAGUUUAAAUGAAGUUAUAAGAGUGGGUCCUGAUUUAAUAGAAUUAGUGUCCUCAUAAGAAGAGACACCAGAGAGCUCCCUUGUUCUCUUGUUCUCUCCACAUGUACCACACACACCAAGGAAAAAUCAUAGAAGCACAAGAGAUAAGGUGGCCAUCUGCCACCCAAGGUGAGAGCCUUCACCAGAUACCAGUCCUGCUGGUACAUUGAUCUUCAGUUUCCAAUCUCCAGAACACAGUUGUUUCAAGGAUGUAUAUAUGACCCAGUCAAGAAACCUAAGACCAAGAAGACUUUGGCUGAAACUCAUGAGAUUAAAUGUGUACAUGUGAAAGCAGCUCUUCUGAAAACCUCCAAUGUAACAAGAACAUUGUAGAGACCAAUGUACCAGACACAACAAUGACAUUGGGGUGAUUGCAAUCUCAUUGGGCUGAGAAAAUGGACCUAAAACAUACAGCAAGAAAAGAUUCCAAUGAAUAAAUGUAAUUUCAGUAAAGAGAAGUUGAACAGUUGUGUUUAAUAAUUUAUGGCUUGAUAAGAAGUGAGAAGAGACCAAAAAAAAAAAAAAAAGUCACUGAACAAAGAAGCAGAAGAAAGUAUAAAGAAAGAAGUGUUGAGACCCUGAGGUUUUCAUAAGGACUAUGAAGGUUCUGGUAUAAAUUGACUAUUUAAAUUUAUUCUGUAGACCUUAACAGUCAAGAGACCAAAUAGACCAUAACAUUAUGUACCUAAUCCUGUGCAAAGUGCUAGGGAAUAAAGAAAUGAGAUAUGGUUCAUACCCUACUAGGCUACCAUGUUCAUAAAUGAUGAUAAUGCAUGACAUUCAAUGAGUGAACCAAUAAACUAAGUUCUACAAAACAGUUAUUCCACGUUCAAUGCUUUAAAAGGCUAAGGACAUCAGGCUCAAUGUUAUUAUUGGAUUUCUUUCAUCAAGUUGGAAAAGACAUACUGGAAAUGUAUGUAUAUUCGUGUCUUGUUAAGGUGUCCAGGUCAAUCUCCUCACUUAAUAACCCAUCAAGAAAACAUUACUUUGUAAAACACUGAGCUAUAACUUUCUGGCCUUAAAAAUAUCACAGGCUAUGGGUAGAAAUUUAGCUGUUUAAAUUAGAAAAUGACAGUUGUUUUGAAUCAGAGAUCAAUACCGUGUUGUGAGGAGCUUUUUACUGUAAUUUUUAAAAAGCUGUACCAGGUUACUUUUGCUUUUGCAAAUGGUCAUCUCUACAAUCAACAGGGUGCAUAAGAUUUUAUAACUGUUGAAACAGGAAAGCAUCAGACAAUGGGAUACUAUGCAAUGUCACUGUUGUUGGAAACUCUGAAACAAGAUGACAGAAGCUGUCAUCCUUCUUGAGGACCAGUCUUUGAGACCUGGAGGUUUCAGGUCUUUGGAACAACUCAACUCACUCCUCUUUGACAUUGAUGUACUCAUUUGUAUGGUGAAAAAUCUUGGAACCUUUACUUCCAGACUAGAAAAUACAGCUAUUGUCAGGAAAUCAGACAUUGAGUAAAUUUCCAUGGAGACACAGAAUGUAAGUUUCUAGAAGACAGCCAUGCAGAGUUCCUGGCACAGGGCCUCAUACUUGGAAGACUCUCAGUAGCUGUUAAUGAAUGAAUAAACAGUACCUGAAACUAAAGCAUCUUCCUAUUGAUGG